rnacentral:misc_RNA from 1 species
AUGGCAUCACCAGAAACCAAGAAGAUGGUAAGGCCUGGAGGUGGCAGAGCUGAAGAG